rnacentral:rRNA from 1 species
GUAGGUGGCAAGCGUUGUCCGGGAAUUAUUGGGCGUAAAGCGCGCGCAGGCGGUUCUUUAAGUCUGAUGUGAAAGCCCACGGGCUCAACCGUGGAGGGUCAUUGGAAACUGGAGAACUUGAGUACAGAAGAGGAAAGCGGAAUUCCACGUGUAGCGGUGAAAUGCGUAGAGAUGUGGAGGAACACCAGUGGCGAAGGCGGCGUUUCUGGUCUGUAACUGACGCUGAGGCGCGAAAGCGUGGGGAGCAAACAGGAUUAGAUACCCUGGUAGUCCACGCCGUAAACGAUGAGUGCUAAGUGUUAGGGGGUUUCCGCCCCUUAGUGCUGCAGCUAACGCAUUAAGCACUCCGCCUGGGGAGUACGGCCGCAAAGGCUG